AGAUUUAGAUGAACCUUUUCCACGUUCAUCCGAUGUGACCUCUGUUAUAACUUUUUCUCCAACGCUAGAAGACACAUCUUCGCAUUCAACGAAAGAAUUAUGUCAAGAUGAAACUUUACCACAAUCAUCCGAUGUAGCUUCUGUAAGUACUUUGUUUUCUGCACUAGAAAGCACAUCUUCGCAUUCAACCAAAGAAUUAUGCCAAGAUUUAGUUAAAACCUUCCCACAUUCAUCUGAUGUGGCUUCUGUUAGUAGAUCUUGCCUCGUUACUGCGUAAUCCCACCAAACUCAAACGGAC